GAUGAACGCUGGCGGCGUGCCUAAUACAUGCAAGUCGAGCGGAGAGUGGGCGGGUGCGUGACACGUGGGUGACCUCCUCUAAGACUGGGGUUACUUCGGGAAACCGGAACCAAUACGGAAACUUAUAGAUGGUGCCACUUUGCAUUAGCUAGUGGGUAAGGUAACGGCUUACCAAGGCAACGAUGCAUAGCCGACCUGAGAGGGUGACCGGCCACACUGGAACUGAGACACGGUCCAGACUCCUACGGGAGGCAGCAGUAGGGAAUCUUCCGCAAUGGGCGAAAGCCUGACAGAGCAACGCCGCGUGAGUGAUGAAGGUCUUCGGAUCGUAAAACUCUGUUAUUAGGGAAGCGGUACCUAAUCAGAAAGCCACGGCUAACUCCGUGCCAGCAGCCGCGGUAAUAC
rnacentral:rRNA from 1 species